rnacentral:lncRNA from 1 species
GUCAUACAAAAGGACAAAGAAUGCAAAAGUUCUAAGGAAAUAGAAGGAAAAAAUAUAGGUGGCAUACAAAGGAGAACAAAGCAAGAGUUCUAUGGAAAUAGAAGAAAAAGAAUCAGAUAUAAAAAGCACUUCAAAGCUCUGACAGAAAUGGAUACAGAGAUUAUAAGUCAAUCAAAUCUGACAGAAAACACAGCUAUGUUUAGCUCAGGUAAGAAACAAAAAAUUAUGUAG